rnacentral:rRNA from 1 species
CCGCACAUUCAGUAAACUUUUUGUAAAAAGCAUUGAUCGAGUGAUUUAGGUCGUUUGAUCACUUUCUGACCAGUGGGGCCGAAUUGUCAGGAACUGACUUAGCAAAACAUUUACAUAUACACCCUUAGAUCUUAAAACAAAAAGCAAUCAACCCCUUCUCCCUCCCUCGCGGACAGAAGCUCACGUGCAGCGUCCACGGCGUGGACUUCGCGGAGGCAGCCGCCGGGAGCUCUGCCUUCAAGCCACGGCGGCGCCGGCCGGGAUGCCGUGGCCGCGCCUCGGCCGUCUGCCGGAGAUGCCCAGCGCCGCUCGACGCCGUGGAUGGGGGCCAACCUCCAUGCGCGUUCCUAGGGUCAUCUGUUGUGUUGGAGGAGCUCGCUCCCGUGGAUGCACGCGCCCAGGUGCCACCGGAGACUCGUCGGAUGUGACGCAGCUGCGAGUUCGUCGGCUGCUCGUGGGCAGGGGCGAGGCACUUCGAGCACGUCGGCACCCCCGUGGACAGGGAGGCGCCGGCGGCGAGGUCCGCGUGGAUUGGGGUGGCAGAUGCUCGGCGGAUCGAUCGAUCCACUCGAUCUCUGGAGCUUGGCGGCCGGACUUGAAGCGGAUACGAAGGCAGGCGGCGUAGGGGCGACUAAGGACGCCCGGAUCCGAUUGAUGGAGGCGGUUGGCGGAGCUCCGGCCCCGGCGGGGGUCCUUGGAUGUGGCCAUGAGCAAGGAACCACCGGCAACAAGCUCCUCUGUACACGCCGGCCAUGAGCUCGUACAGGUGGUUGGUGGCUCCCGUGUACACGGGUGAAGGAGAAGAUAACCUUAUCCUUUGAAUAUUUUACUUUUUCAUCCAUCACUUUUCUCUUAUUUACGGGAAAGCCCCGCUGUUCG